AGUCGAGCGGUAACAGGAAUUAGCUUGCUAAUUUGCUGACGAGCGGCGGACGGGUGAGUAACGCGUAGGAAUCUGCCUGGUAGUGGGGGACAACAUGUGGAAACGCAUGCUAAUACCGCAUACGCCCUACGGGGGAAAGGAGGGGAUCUUCGGACCUUUCGCUAUCAGAUGAGCCUGCGUGAGAUUAGCUAGUUGGUGGGGUAAAGGCUCACCAAGGCGACGAUCUCUAGCUGGUCUGAGAGGAUGAUCAGCCACACUGGGACUGAGACACGGCCCAGACUCCUACGGGAGGCAGCAGUGGGGAAUAUUGGACAAUGGGCACAAGCCUGAUCCAGCCAUGCCGCGUGUGUGAAGAAGGCCUUCGGGUUGUAAAGCACUUUCAGGGGUGAGGAAGGGUGUGCUGUUAAUACCGGUAUGCUUUGACGUUAGCCUCAGAAGAAGCACCGGCUAACUCUGUGCCAGCAGCCGCGGUAAUACAGAGGGUGCGAGCGUUAAUCGGAAUUACUGGGCGUAAAGCGCGCGUAGGUGGUUUGUUAAGUCGGAUGUGAAAGCCCAGGGCUCAACCUUGGAAUUGCACCCGAUACUGGCAAGCUAGAGUACGGUAGAGGGGUGUGGAAUUUCCUGUGUAGCGGUGAAAUGCGUAGAUAUAGGAAGGAACAUCAGUGGCGAA
rnacentral:rRNA from 1 species